UACGUAGGUGACCAGCGUUGUCCGGAUUUACUGGGCGUAAAGAGCGCGCAGGCGGUCGUUCAAGUCGAGUGUGAAAGCCCCCGGCUCAACUGGGGAGGGUCACUUGAUACUGAUCGACUCGAAGGCAGGAGAGGGAAGCGGAAUUCCCGGUGUAGUGGUGAAAUGCGUAGAUAUCGGGAGGAACACCGGUGGCGAAGGCGGCGUCCUGGACCAACACUGACACUGAUGAGCGAAAGCCAGGGGAGCAAACGGG
rnacentral:rRNA from 1 species